UACGGAGGGGGCAAGCGUUAUUCGGAAUUAUUGGGCGUAAAGGGCGUGUAGGCGGCUUCGUGUGUCUUCUGUGAAAGCCCUCGGCUCAACCGAGGAAUCGCAGGGGAAACUGCGGAGCUUGAGUCCGGGAGAGGAGAGCGGAAUUCCCAGUGUAGCGGUGAAAUGCGUAGAUAUUGGGAGGAACACCGGUGGCGAAGGCGGCUCUCUGGACCGGUACUGACGCUGAGACGCGAAAGCCAGGGGAGCAAACGGG
rnacentral:rRNA from 1 species